ACCAUAUCACAUGUGACCACUGCAGUUAAGCAACAUCUAGCCUGGUCAGUACCUAGAUGAGUGACCAUUUGGGAAUACCAGGUGCUGUAAG